UAUUAGCAAAUCUUCAUUAUUUAAAAUCAUUAAUUACUAUAUCAUAAUCACAUUAGGUAAUUCCGUAGGUUUUAUUUAAGGAAAUAAUAUAUAAUAAAUAGUCACCUUGAUUUAGUUAAUAUCAUAUUAUAUCAUAUAGUUGGUAGUAAAUGUUUCUAGUGAGAUAUAAAAAUCGAAUUGGACCAACAUGUUUUUCAAUUUCAAUGUGAGGCUAACACGUAUGACUAAUUAACUACCUAAUUGAUAGACACAUAAGCAAGUUGUCUUUUUUAAUUAUUACAAAAUUGAGGUUACAUCUUUUCAAAUGUUGUUCAAUUAAUAUAUAGGGGAUAUUAACAGAUAUAUUGUUUAAUCUCAUUAGUAAUGUUUUGAUCAAUUGGAUUGAUGACUCAAAACAUAUAGUAAAAUUAAAAAUUAUAAGAAAAAUUGAUUAAUAAAAACUAUAUAAUUCAUGAAAUAUUAAAAUUAUUAAUUUGAGAGUUAUGUUUGAUUAAUUUUUGUGGAACACUAUUGUUGGAUACCACUUUACCACUAAGAGCAAGGAUAGAUAACGUUUACCAAAAUGAAAAAAAAUAUUUAAACUUUUAAUCUCUACUAUAUAAAAAGAAUUAAAUUGAAGCAAUUCUAGGUGUGCCACAUAAGACAAAAUAUUCAUAACCAAUCAUUUGUCCAUGUUAUGAAGGAUGUUAGGCUGUUGGGCCAUGAAUCUGUGCUACGUAAUAGGCUCAUUAAUUUUAAUGACCAGUUUGUUUUACUUUCCUCUUCCUCUAACCUAAGUUGUCACAGCAUCUACAGACCCUCCAAAACUCAUCGUCUUCCCAUCUCCUCUGUAUAACGCAUGCGACAGCAACAAUGAUGAAUCAAAGCUAUCCUCCAGACAAAUCGGCGUGUAACUCUCCACAUCCCUCCUCUUACUCAAUUAUAUCAAUGCCUCUUGAAGAUCCCUUAAUUAAUCACUUAAAAUGAAAUGCUUCUCAUCUCUCUCCUUUCCCAAUCGAGACUAUAUAUAUAUAUAUAUAUCCCAACCCAACAAUCUCUUCCUCAGCAAACGCAUCUCAACACUAUGGCAAAUCAAACGGCAGUCGCCACCUUGCAAUACAAGUCAUUCUCCACUUUUGUUUCAGCAGGACCAGGAGAUUCCAAGUUGAUGUUUAGGCUAAUCCAUUUCUGGGAAGCUUGCAAUAAUUCCAAAGGAGACAUCCUUAUCGGAACCAAGUACGUGACAGUCGAUUUCUUUAAUGAUCAUCAUCCACAUCGGCUCUCUCAUGUUCCCUUUUCCCACUACAUUCUAAGAGUUCCCUGCUGGCGAAUUCUACCGAAAAUUCAGUAAAACGUGUAGUAGGUACUCACUUAUAUUUUUCCUCCAUUUAAACCAUGAUUAACUAUAAGUUCAGAUUCUCAUUUUUUAAAUAGAUAAAGACACCUACUCAAGCUUGAUUUAAAGAUAGAUGAAGUCUCUAAAACUGAUAGGAAUCAAAGAUUCGUAAGUUUCUAAUCUUCUUAUGACAUCUACAUUUUGCUGUUGCUUUGGAUGGUUAUCUCUCAAAAAGACAUGAUUGCUUACCACGAACAUGCCGGAGAAGCCUCAAAUUCACAUCCGCCUAUGCUCGAUGCAGUUUCAAAUGAGUUCUGGGAACAGAAAAUUGUGAGGAAGAGCAAUGGAGCGGAUAUCUCCAGACUACAGAGGAACGUUAAGAAACGAGACAUGUUAGGUUUAUAUAAAGAUGGUUUCGAAAGAGAAAAGGCGUGUGUUUUUAAGCUAAGUCACAAGAAUUUGGUAAGAUUUUUAACAGUAACUUGAUCGCUUUGGUUACAGAAUCGACCGGUGGAGAAAAUAUUAGAGACUUACGCUCAAUUCUUCAUUGGCUUCGUCAUGGAGAAGAAGAUUAGGAGUGGUUAUAGGUAGGCCUGGGCAUAAAAUACAUAAUCCGAAAUCCGAACCGAACCCGAACCGAAAAAUCUGAUCCGUACCCGGUCUGAAAUGUAAAAAAUACCCGAAUGGAUCUCAUAAGGUGGUACAAAACAUAUCCGAACCCGAAGUGUUAUUAACCGAACCCGAACGGGUAACCCGAACCGAAAAAACCAAAAAAUCCAAAAAGAUAUCCGAAGAAACCGGUCCGAAUGUCCAAACUAUAUACAAUGUAAUUAUAUGAAACAUGAAUAUAUACUUCAAAUAUUCAAUUUCAUAUUUAUUUUUAUAUGGUAUCUAACAAUAAGUAUUAAAAAUUUAAAUAACUACUUUAAAUACUUAAUUAUAUAUAAAUAAGUAUAUAUUUCUUAUGUUUUGCUUUUAAAUUUUAGAUUUUAUUUCGGGUAUAUCCGAACCGAUCCGAUAUAACCUGAAUCCGAAUGAUAUAUGGUUACUUUAUGGGUUAUAUGAUGUGAUGCAAAACCGACCUGAACCCGAUGUGUUAUAUCUGAACCCGAUCCGUACUUGCAAAUUUACUAGAAUGAGACCUAAGAGGUGUUAUCAAAAAGAACCAAAAUCCAAAAACCCGACCCGAACGCCAACGGGUACCCGAACGCCAACGGGUACCCGAACGCCCAGGCCUAGUUAUACGAGUUGUAGAAGGUAUGUUUUAUAUAUUCGAACAAUGACCUGAGAUUAUAUUUGAUCUGAAUGCAAGUAGUGUUUUGUUAUCGAUGAUGAUCAAGAACCAUUGAUUUCUCAAUUCAAGAUUGGAGAUGAAACCUACUCAUCAAAAAUGAUUACAAAUCUAAAACCUGGUGAGGAACAAGAAGAUCCAGAAAGGAGGUAUGUUGAGUAAAUAAGAGUUUAUGAUCGGAUAACUUAGAGAGAGAGUGAUUGAUGAGGAUAUGAAGAUUGAAGAGAGAACGUUGUGGGAAAUUAAGCAAGUAAUUACACUUGGACUUAUGUUCACUAACAAAUCUCUGUCAAAGCAAAUCAAACUUCUACGCAGAUUUAUGACAUGGUGUUUCUUCGUAUGAGUCUAGCUCAAGGCAUCAAUCAGAUAUGUAAUUAGGUUGUGUGUAUUGAAGAAUUGAAGCUUUACUCUUUUGUUUUGAUUUUAAUAGAUAAGAUAAUUCUUUUCCGAUUUCAAGAUAUAUUUUGUAUACAACCAAUAAAAUUGCACCUUACUUUUUA